UACGAAGGGGGCGAGCGUUGUUCGGAAUCACUGGGCAUAAAGGGCGCGUAGGCGGCUUUUCAAGUCAGGGGUGAAAUCCGGCAGCUCAACUGUCGAAGUGCCCUUGAUACUGAUGAGCUCGAGGGAGGUAGGGGUAUGUGGAACUUCCGGUGGAGCGGUGAAAUGCGUUGAUAUCGGAAGGAACGCCGGUGGCGAAAGCGACGUACUGGACCUCUUCUGACGCUGAGGCGCGAAAGCUAGGGGAGCAAACGGG
rnacentral:rRNA from 1 species